rnacentral:rRNA from 1 species
CCUACGGGUGGCAGCAGUGAGGAAUAUUGGUCAAUGGACGAGAGUCUGAACCAGCCAAGUAGCGUGAAGGAUGACUGCCCUAUGGGUUGUAAACUUCUUUUAUAAAGGAAUAAAACGAGGCACGUGUGCCUUUUUGCAUGUACUUUAUGAAUAAGGAUCGGCUAACUCCGUGCCAGCAGCCGCGGUAAUACGGAGGAUCCGAGCGUUAUCCGGAUUUAUUGGGUUUAAAGGGAGCGUAGAUGGGUUGUUAAGUCAGUUGUGAAAUUUUGCGGCUCAACCGUAAAAUUGCAAUUGAUACUGGCAGUCUUGAGUACAGUGGAGGUAGGCGGAAUUCGUGGUGUAGCGGUGAAAUGCUUAGAUAUCACGAAGAACUCCGAUUGCGAAGGCAGCUUACUAAACUGCCACUGACAUUGAUGCUCGAAAGUGUGGGUAUCAAACAGGAUUAGAUACCCCUGUAGUC